rnacentral:lncRNA from 1 species
CCUAGCACAUUGUAGGCAUGGUAUGUGAGCCACAUAGCUGUACAUUUUGAGGUUGGACAGAUAAGAUUCUAGCACUGAGUCAUUCUUAAGAGCUCAUGUGGCUGGAUUUUCAGACAAGGCAUUGAAAGUGCUAGUCACUGUGGAGUGUCCAACAGCCUGCUCUUCCACCCCUCAUUGCUGCUGCCAUUGGUGUACAGGGGUCAGAGGGACCAGACAGGGCAGUGUAGCAGGACAAUGCUAGAAGGUUCUCCUAGGUGCACAGUAGCUCUGGGAAGCCUCUGAAGGGCUGGGGCUCCCGGGGGGAAGCCUGAGUCACAGAUCCACCUUGAGGCCCUGCAUGACAGUAUUUUAUGGGGGGUGGAGGGACAGGCUGAUGUCCCCUUCACCCACUGGACCCAAAGCAGGGUGGCAGCCCUCAGUUAAUGCACCUAACACUUGCUGCAAUGUCAGCGGGUGAGAUGGGGGUGGAUACACAGAAGUUUGCAUAUUUUUCCCUAGGUAUGUUUAAAGUGUUCCAAGGCAAAAUCUCUGAAGCACAAUCUAUGGU